CGAGUGAAGUGGGAAGAGCUCAAAUUUGAAAUCUGGCAGUCUCUGGCUGUCCGAGUUGUAAUCUAGAGAAGUGUUGCCCGCGCUGGACCGUGUACAAGUCUCCUGGGAUGGAGCGUCAUAGAGGGUGAGAAUCCCGUCUCUGACAUGGACUACCAGGGCUUUUGUGGUGCGCUCUCAAAGAGUCGAGUUGUUUGGGAAUGCAGCUCAAAAUGGGUGGUAAAUUCCAUCUAAAGCUAAAUAUUGGCGAGAGACCGAUAGUGAACAAGUACCGUGAGGGAAAGAUGAAAAGAACUUUGGAAAGAGAGUUAAACAGUACGUGAAAUUGCUGAAAGGGAAACGCUUGAAGUCAGUCGCGUUGGCCAGGGAUCAGCCUUGCUUCUUAGUGUGGUGUACUUCCUGGUUGACGGGUCAGCAUCGGUUUCGACUGCUGGAGAAAGGCUUGGGGAAUGUGGCAGCUCUGGCUGUGUUAUAGCCUCCUGUCAGAUACAGUGGUUGGGACUGAGGAACGCAGCAUGCCGCAAGGCCGGGGCUAAUAUCAGCCUACGUUCAUGCUUAGGAUGUUGACAUAAUGGCUUUAAGCGACCCGUCUUGAAACACGGACCAAGGAGUCUAACAUGCCUGCAAGUGUUUGGGUGGAAAACCCAUGUGCGUAAUGAAAGUGAAAGUUGAGAUCCCUGUCAUGGGGAGCAUCGACGCCCGGACCAGAACUUCUUGGGAUGGAUCUGCGGUAGAGCAUGUAUGUUGGGACCCGAAAGAUGGUGAACUAUGCCUGAAUAGGGUGAAGCCAGAGGAAACUCUGGUGGAGGCUCGUAGCGAUUCUGACGUGCAAAUCGAUCGUCAAAUUUGGGUAUAGGGGCGAAGACUAUCGAACCAUCUAGUAGCUGGUUCUGCGAUUUCCCUCUCAAGGAAUAAGAAACCUUACUAGAGAGGUUCCGAUAUAGAGUCUCUCUGCCCUAUACCAAUUUGACGAUCGAAUUUGC
rnacentral:rRNA from 1 species